UGUGGGAGCUGGCUUGCCUGCGAUGGCGGUGUGUCAGACGACACGGCUUUAACUGAUAGUCCGCUAUCGCAGGCAAGCCAGCUCCCACC
rnacentral:ncRNA from 2 species